UCGUAACAAGGUUUCCGUAGGUGAACCUGCGGAAGGAUCAUUACCGAGUGAGGGCCCUCUGGGUCCAACCUCCCACCCGUGUUUAUCGUACCUUGUUGCUUCGGCGGGCCCGCCUCACGGCCGCCGGGGGGCAUCCGCCCCCGGGCCCGCGCCCGCCGAAGACACACAAACGAACUCUUGUCUGAAGAUUGCAGUCUGAGUACUUGACUAAAUCAGUUAAAACUUUCAACAACGGAUCUCUUGGUUCCGGCAUCGAUGAAGAACGCAGCGAAAUGCGAUAAGUAAUGUGAAUUGCAGAAUUCAGUGAAUCAUCGAGUCUUUGAACGCACAUUGCGCCCCCUGGUAUUCCGGGGGGCAUGCCUGUCCGAGCGUCAUUGCUGCCCUCAAGCACGGCUUGUGUGUUGGGCUCUCGCCCCCCGCUUCCGGGGGGCGGGCCCGAAAGGCAGCGGCGGCACCGCGUCCGGUCCUCGAGCGUAUGGGGCUUCGUCACCCGCUCUGUAGGCCCGGCCGGCGCCCGCCGGCGAACACCAUCAAUCUUAACCAGGUUGACCUCGGAUCAGGUAGGGAUACCCGCUGAACUUAAGCAUAUCAAUAA
rnacentral:misc_RNA from 1 species